GCCUGGGUGGCUCAGUAGGUUAAGCAUCCGAUUUCAGCUCAGGUCAUGAUCUCACGGUUUGUGGGUUCGAGUCCCACAUCGGGCU
rnacentral:tRNA from 1 species